rnacentral:rRNA from 1 species
ACAAGUACCGUGAGGGAAAGUUGCAAAGAACUUUGAAGAGAGAGUUCAAGAGUGCGUGAAACCACUGGAAUGGAAACAGACAGAGUUGACGAAACUCGUCGAUAUUCAGCUGAGCCUUCGGGCACGGUGUACUUGUCGGCGGUAUGCGCUGAGUCCGCUGUUGGUGUGCGUUGAGCGUCGCGGUGUUGCCCACUUGUGGUGUCUUGCCGCGGCGGGAGGCGUAUCGUCGGUAGCGCGAUUCGGUGUAGGCGUUGAUCACCUGUCCGACCCGUCUUGAAACACGGACCAAGGAGUCUACCGCAUGCGCGAGUCAUUGGGUUGUAAACCUAGAGGCGCAAUGAAAGUAAAGGUCGGCGUUCGCUCGGCUGAUAUGGGAUGCGUGUGCUUGUCAUGCGCCACACCAUAGCCCCGCCUCGACGGCUUGCCGUGGGGCGGAGGUAGAGCGUAUGUGGUAGGACCCGAAAGAUGGUGAACUAUACGUGAGCAGGGCGAAGCCGGAGGAAACUCCGGUGGAGGUCCGUAACGAUUCUGACGUGCAAAUCGAUCGUCUGACUUGCGUAUAGGGGCGAAAGACUAAUCGAACCAUCACAAGUACCGUGAGGGAAAGUUGCCUUCCGA